CCUACGGGUGGCAGCAGUGGGGAAUAUUGCACAAUGGGGGGAACCCUGAUGCAGCGACGCCGCGUGAGUGAAGAAGUAUUUCGGUAUGUAAAGCUCUAUCAGCAGGGAAGAAGAUGACGGUACCUGACUAAGAAGCCCCGGCUAACUACGUGCCAGCAGCCGCGGUAAUACGUAGGGGGCAAGCGUUAUCCGGAUUUUCUGGGUGGAAAGGGAGCGUAGACGGCAGGGCAAGUCUGGAGUGAAAGCCCGUGGCCCAACCCCGGGACUGCGUUGGAAACUGCCAUGCUGGAGUGCUGGAGAGGUAAGCGGAAUUCCUAGUGUAGCGGUGAAAUGCGUAGAUAUUAGGAGGAACACCAGUGGCGAAGGCGGCUUACUGGACAGUAACUGACGUUGAGGCUCGAAAGCGUGGGGAGCAAACAGGAUUAGAUACCCUUGUAGUC
rnacentral:rRNA from 1 species